UGUUGCGGUUAAAAAGCUCGUAGUUGGAUCUCGGCAAGUGGAGGGCGGUAUGCUUCGUAGCAUUACUGCCCUAUUACUUGUAGUUUUGCCAGAGGUUCCUGGGUGCUCUUAAUCGAGUGUCUAGGGAUGCUGGCAGGUUUACUUUGAAAAAAUUAGAGUGCUCAAAGCAGGCUAUUACGCUUGAAUAUUCGUGCAUGGAAUAAUAGAAUAGGAAGUUGUUUCUAUUUUGUUGGUUUUCGGAAAUCGACUUAAUGAUUAAUAGGGACAGUCGGGGGCAUUUGUAUUCAAACGACAGAGGUGAAAUUCUUGGACCGUUUGAAGACAAACUACUGCGAAAGCAUUUGCCAAGAAUGUUUUCAUUAAUCAAGAACGAUAGUUAGAGGUUCGAAGGCGAUUAGAUACCGCCCUAGUUCUAACCAUAAACGAUGCCAGCUAGCGAUCUGAGGACGUUUUUUUUGUAGACUCCUCAGGAAGCUUCCGGGAAACCAAAAGCGUGUGGGUUCCGGGGGGAAGUAUGGUUGCAAAGCUGAAACUUAAAA
rnacentral:rRNA from 1 species